CAUUUUAACAAUUGAAAAGUCGGGCCCUCGUUCUUCACUUCAGCCCUAACUUGCUCAUUCUCUCUCUCUCUCUCUCUCUCCCUCCCUCCGUAAUCGAUCUUCAUACCUGUAAGAGCUCCAAGGCAGAUUGAGCUCCACAUUUGAAGAUUAAUAGUCGUUUUUCAAUUAACAAUUGAAGAUUGAGCUCAAUCUUCAAUUGUCAAUCUUCAAUCUCUCGCACCUCAGUUUGCUCAAUCUUCAGCCCUAAAGUCGGGAGCUCCAAGGCAGAUUGGGAGCUCAAUCUUCCUCAAAUUUUGGGGUGUGUGUGUGUGUGUCUCUCUCUCUCCGUAAUUGAUCUCCAUAAUCGACCUGUGGAUUUGGCAGUAUUAAAGCUGCGAUUAGCAAGGUUGAAGAUACAACAGAGCGUAAGAAAGGACGUGGGAAGUCACGAAGCCUUGCAUUACUCAAGAUAAAAAGUCAAGGGAAGCGAUUGGAUGUUGAAAUUUGUAGGAUUACUGGGAAUCCAUUGGGACCAUGGUCUAAUAAAUUCACCACCGAGUUGGGGAUCGUCACUAGGCAAUUUGCCCCACAAAAUGUGCCGAAGUGG